ACGACAGGGCGCACGGUUCCGCGUCGGUCAUUGUUAUUGUUUGAAUAUUGAAUGUUUCUGCCCCGCGGGAAAUCUCGGAACGCGUGACACUGGUGGCAGCGUGUGAGCGGACGCCAGCCUGGCCUUUUGUAAGUUAGAAGAUACCAGUGGGGAGUGUUCAGUCGGAGAACGACGACGAAGAAAACACAACGCCGUUAAGGGCAGAGGUCGGAUGACGCCCCCUGUUCCUGUCCGCAAGAAACUCCCAUAAAGAAGUUCUCGCUGGGAUGGGCUUCUAGCGGCUGCUAGCCUCGCGUCGCCAUGCUGAAGCUCCUUCGGCGCGGGUCGACCCGCAUGCUGGCGGCGUCGGCCGUGCUGCUCAUGGCCCUCGUGUGCCUGUACUACGCCAACUACUCGACGUACCCGGGCGACACGGGGCGCGCGCCGUCGUCGUCCACGUCC